UACGGGAGGCAGCAGUGGGGAAUAUUGCACAAUGGGCGCAAGCCUGAUGCAGCCAUGCCGCGUGUAUGAAGAAGGCCUUCGGGUUGUAAAGUACUUUCAGUCGUGAGGAAGGUGUUAAGGUUAAUAACCUUAGCAAUUGACGUUAGCGACAGAAGAAGCACCGGCUAACUCCGUGCCAGCAGCCGCGGUAAUACGGAGGGUGCGAGCGUUAAUCGGAAUUACUGGGCUAAAGGGCACGCAGGCGGUUAAUUAAGUUGGAUGUGAAAUCCCCGGGCUUAACCUGGGAAUGGCAUUCAAGACUGGUUAGCUAGAGUCUUGUAGAGGGGGUAGAAUUCCAUGUGUAGCGGUGAAAUGCGUAGAGAUGUGGAGGAAUACCGGGUGGCGAAGGCGGCCCCUGGGACAAGACUGACGCUCAUGUGCGAAAGCGUGGGGAGCGAAACAGGGAUUAGAUA
rnacentral:rRNA from 1 species